UAAGAAUAGAAAAGCAGCAUUCUGAACAGCAAUGCUCAUCACAUAAACAUGAAGUUUCCUCCAAAAGGAAUGAUGACUAAUGCUUUGAGGAAACAGCAGACGUCAGACAGCAAGCCCAGAAAAACCUGCCAGCACCAAGAGGGUGUCCUCAACAGGCGCCUGGGGGACAUAUUAUUCUAACUAAAGAGACCAGAGCUUCCCCAGGAAGGGAAGAGGAGAGAAAUGAAGAACGUCUGUGUUCAUGUUUGCCAAAAACAAAAGUCUGAGAAAUCUCUGAGAGACUCUACAUGGGAGGAAAAGUGCAACCCACUGGAGAAAGAGAGGGACUCCGAGGAAGGAGAGAGAGAAGAGCAUCAAGCACAAAUGAUGAUCUCCUAGGACAGUGGCAGCUUCUGAGAAUGCACAGGAAAGUGACCAGGGAAAGAAUGAUUCCAUCUCCAGGAAUCCCUGGUGAUCUUCAGAGCCCAGACAGGACCCUGCUGGGCCAUGGUAACUGAGAAACUGAGAAGCAGAUACAGUGGUCCCUAUGUUGGCAACCUCAGCUGAAGAGGAACAACUCUCUCUAUAAUCAAGGACUUCUGAAACCAGAAAUCACCAGCGUGGGGAGAGAACAUUAAAGGCAGAGGUGUCUCUUAUAAGCACAACGUGUGACCAGGUAAUACUGUCUGGAUUAGCAGCUGUACAGCCUAACUAAGCCCUGGAGCUACAAUUAUCUGGUCGCAUUAAACUGAAAUCACCUGAAAAACUUCACACUGAACAAGCCUUUGGAAAUGUCUAAUCUGCCAGUUUACACCCAGAAGUGAAAGUGGAAUUCACUUGUUAAAGACAAGAAAACAAAAGUUUUCUGCCAGGAAGAGUCUCAUCUUAGAACCAGUAUAGGGUCUGAAGACAUUUCUGCAAUUUAUGUUUAUGCCAUUCUUUCACUUUUAUUUAAAAAGGAGAUUUAACCUGACCAUUCUCUUUGAAGCCGAUGUCCCAAGUAUAUAUGUUUGAUGAGGGUACAGAAGACAUAAGGAAUAAAACUGCAUUGCCACAGAGGGAAUACACGGCUCCAGAUACAAGGCUUUAUGCUAAUUUUAGCAAAAUAACUUGGAUUACUGUCAGCUUCUAGUGUCUCCAUCAUUCAUAAUUGCACUGUGUUGGUCCACCCACUUUACUCCUAAAGAAGAGGUAAGAAACAGAAGAGGAGAUCACAGUGGCUCUUCAACUAUUAAUAUACCACAGACUUCAAUAACAAAUGAAGAGAAACAAGAAAAGAAAGCAAUGCAAAAAGAACGGUACUGCCCUCUUUCUCUCCUGAACCAUCAAUAAAUCAAGGGUAGAUAAUAGCCUAAAUCAGUAUUUCUCCAGUUUUUUCACUAGCAUCUUCCCCAGUGAACCAUUUUAAAUAGUUUUUCCUAAUUGUCCAAAUAUGAAAUGUUAAUGCACU
rnacentral:lncRNA from 1 species